CACGUAGGGCGCAAGCGUUGUCCGGAAUUAUUGGGCGUAAAGAGCUCGUAGGUGGUCUGUUGCGUCCGCUGUGAAAACUCGGGGCUUAACCCCGAGCCUGCAGUGGAUACGGGCAGACUAGAGGUAGGUAGGGGAGAAUGGAAUUCCUGGUGUAGCGGUGAGAUGCGCAGAUAUCAGGAGGAACACCGGUGGCGAAGGCGGUUCUCUGGGCCUUACCUGACACUGAGGAGCGAAAGCGUGGGGAGCGAACAGG
rnacentral:rRNA from 1 species